UCUUGCGGUUGGCGCUUCACGCGAGUUUCAGUCCACUUUUGCGCGGACUCCUUUCCUCAAUUAGGUUAAACGCACAAAACGCACUUUACAAAUCCGCCGCUCCUCCUUUUCUCCUUCGUCUACCUUGCAACCCUAAAUAGCAGCCACAGCUAGGCAGAAUUCCAACAAAAAAUUCUUUCAAAUGCCUCCACGCCGCAACUCCAGCCCACUUAUACCCUCUCCUCUAAAAAGAGGUUGUCAAUCCCCUCUCUCUUCUCCGAUCAACUGCAAAGCGGAAGUUUCCCCGAUUCUUCCUUAAAUUUUAGAAAAUUUUUGGGUAAUUCUUCUCCAUUUCCCGCAGAAAGAACAACAAAAUCGAAAUAUAUUCCAAUGCCCGGCAUUGAAUUCACUCUCCAGGACUGCAAAAUCUGUGGCUCUUUUAUCUGCCCACAGAUUUGCUUUUAGUUGCCAAAAUGCCCUACCUUCAACAGAUCGAUAUAGCUUCACAGUUUUCUGUAUAUAUCUCUAGGGUUUUUAGGAAUUUCAGUUUCAGAGAAUCAACGACCGCCGCAGCAGCAACAGUCUUCCUACCCUAUGUUUUCUUGUUCAUUGUUACUUGUUAAUUAUCUAGAUUUAGUUCCCAAUUCCCCUGUGAAGUUAAAGAAGUUGGACCUGAUGGCCAAGAGGUUUCAGCUUAGAGAUUAUGAUGUCCAUAUCUUGACCUGCUGCCUCUUUUCUACAAGCAGUGCUUGAGCAUAUGGCUGCACUUGGUGGUGGUGUGCAUAUAAUUUGGACAAGUCAAUUAGGGAGUUUUGAAAUUGCUGGUGGAAAAGGGAGACGUGAUGUCUAAGUAGGUUCAAUGAGAGCUUCUUUACCUACCUGAAGAAUAAUCUCAAAGCUAACAGGUCAUGGAUGGUCAGUUCUGAAGCUGAUUAUGGGUUAUGUGAUCUACUGUGUUUGGGUGAGACGUGGUGGAAGAAAAGGGCGUGUUCCUGAGGGCAUUGUGUAUGGAGAACCCAUAAACUAGGGUGUUGCUGAAAUUUCAGCACAGCAAGUGCUCAGUGGUAGAGGAGCAGGCUGGUUGGAAACUGCGUGGUCUCAGGGUUCUUAACACUUAUUGGAUUCAUGAGGAUGUAUAUGGUUUUGACCUUCAACAUGUGCAAUAAGCCAUGGCGACAUAGGUACAAGCAUAUGACUGGGAAUGCUAAAAGGCAGUCUACAAUCAAGGAUGGUGGGGGUGGUAAGCUGAGGUGUGUACUUUGCCCAGGUGAAGCCUUUUCUUGAUUCUAUUACUUACACUGAGAAUGACUUAAGAUACAGGUUGUUUAACUCUUCAUGUUCUCGCUCUAUUUAGGUAAGAGUGCAAUUGAUUAUUGUGAAAAGUUUGUAAGCAAGUUUGUUUGGACAAAACACUUGCAUCCAUUGAAGGCAAUUUUGCCAAAGUGAUUGGAUUUCCUGUUGAUCUGUUGCCUAUAUCGUGAUUGGCUCAGCUGCGCUUAUGUUGGUUGGUGACUUUUUGUUAAACACCUGUCCACUAGGAGCCUCCAUCAAAUUAAUUACAUCGAUACUCUAGGUUCCAAUACCUACAGAUUGCGACAUUGUUAUUUUUCUAAUUUGAAUUAUUGAUUUUCUCCUCUUUCAAGAUAGUUAUUUAUCUUUUCAUGUGUUAAGUUCUUUUUUGAUGCAUGUUCUGUCAUCUACAUUAGGCAUUUCCCACAUUGAGAAUGACUUAAGAUAUAGGUUGGUAGACUCUUCAUAUUUUAGCUCUAAUACUACUUAGGUUAGAGUGGGCAAUUGAUUAUUUUGACAAGUUUAAAAGUUCCUUCGUGUGAACGAACAACCGUACCCAUGGAAGGCAACUUUGCCGAGGUGAUCGAUUUCCUUUUGAUUUCCUCUUUUCCCUGUUGCCUAUAAUUGUGAUUGGCUCGACUGGGCAUAUAUUGAUUGGUGAAUUAUUUGUUAGAACACCUGAUCCAUUGAAGAGCCUAUAUCCAAUUAAAAUUACAUUGAUACUCUAAGCCUCAAUGCCUGUAAUGUUGUUUUUUAAUUUGAAUUUCUUCUUCUCUCUCAAUGUACAUAUCCUUUCAUGUGCAAAGUGCUCACUUGAUGCAUGAUUUGGAUGUGUGCAUGACGUACUUCAAUGGGGAUGAUCAACAAAUCAUGAGCAUAAUUCUCUAUACGAUGAAUGUGUCUUGGGCUAUGGAUUCUAUCCUAUGAAGCUCUUUGUAGUCAUAGUUACACUAAUAGAACAGCCUCAUUUUUCCCAUUUUUCUUAGUUAAAUGCUUUUCCAAAUUGCCUUUUAAAAUUUGCUGACCCUAAUCUGUUAUGUGGGAUCAAUUUGUUUGAACUUGAUAUACUUUUAGGAGCUACUGGAGAACAUGCCACUGGGUUGGUAAUUGGAAUGUAUUAAAGAAAGUGAACAUGAUUGUUUCAUGGCCAACAAAGCACUAUAGUUAUAUUUGUUGGAGAACUGGGUACAUGUUGUAUUGCUUCAUCUGGGUGUGAUAUCUAAGUCUAGCAUUUGGUUCAUUUGGCUUUUAUUAUCGAGUUAUGCAUUCAUAUCAUUUGCAGGGAUCCUUUUAACUUGCCUUAGGGUGGAGGUGGAGCGGAGCCUAAGCUGAAUGUUCUUACUUCUUUGCCUGGGUUCUUUAUUGCUACUUUGUGUGUCGGUGGUGGUCAUGAAAAUAGGGGGUUUGAGGGUGGGAUUGGCGGAAGCGUUUUUGGAGGACAUUUCACUUUGUGCCAGCCGAUUGGCAGCUUUCAAUUGAAAAAUAUGAAUCCUGAUGAGGGAACUUUUAGGGCUAAAUUCAUAUUCCCCGUGUGAUUUGCAGGUAAGAAGGGAAUGACACAAGUAAGAAGGGGAUGAAGCCGAGGAGCUUGUUGAUAUUGAGCGUGUGCAUUUGGCCGCUGACGGGCUUUUCAUACAAAUAAUGAAGGGAUCUUCAUUUGUAGAUCACUACUACAUUUCUUUUUCUUUUUUUUUUUUUGAGGUAAACUGGUAAUUUUUAUUGAUGGAGACUAGUAAAGCUUGUACAUAGUAGCAACGGCUACCUGUACACAUAAGAGAUCUGUACAUGUGCUAGGAAUAGAGGCAGCAAUUUGGAUCAAAAUUCAAUUAUCAAUCCAUAUGAACCAUAGUUAAAUGGAUUGAUC